UCCUCGAUAGUCUAGUGGAUAUGGUAAGUCAAAAAGUCGUCAACCACCAACUUUCUGUACUUCACAACUAACAAUGCAAAUAGAUUCCGGCUUGUCAAGUACAACUCGCCGGCGGCCGGGGUUCGAUUCCCCGUCGAGGAG